rnacentral:rRNA from 1 species
ACACGGUCCAGACUCCUACGGGAGGCAGCAGUAGGGAAUCUUCCGCAAUGGGCGAAAGCCUGACGGAGCAACGCCGCGUGAGUGAUGAAGGUCUUCGGAUCGUAAAACUCUGUUAUUAGGGAAGAACAAGGAUGUAAGUAACUAUGCAUCCCUUGACGGUACCUAAUCAGAAAGCCACGGCUAACUACGUGCCAGCAGCCGCGGUAAUACGUGGGUGGCAAGCGUUAUCCGGAAUUAUUGGGCGUAAAGCGCGCGUAGGCGGUUUUUUAAGUCUGAUGUGAAAGCCCACGGCUCAACCGUGGAGGGUCAUUGGAAACUGGAAAACUUGAGUGCAGAAGAGGAAAGUGGAAUUCCAUGUGUAGCGGUGAAAUGCGCAGAGAUAUGGCGGAACACCAGUGGCGAAGGCGACUUUCUGGUCUGCAACUGACGCUGAUGUGCGAAAGU